GAUGAACGCUGGCGGCGUGCUUAACACAUGCAAGUCGAACGAAGCACUUUACUUGAUCUCUUCGGAGUGAUUGUUUUGUGACUGAGUGGCGGACGGGUGAGUAACGCGUGGGUAACCUGCCUCACACAGGGGGAUAACAGUUGGAAAUGACUGCUAAUACCGCAUAAGCGCACAGGAUUGCAUGAUCUAGUGUGAAAAACUCCGGUGGUAUAAGAUGGACCCGCGUCUGAUUAGCUGGUUGGUGAGGUAACGGCCCACCAAGGCGACGAUCAGUAGCCGACCUGAGAGGGUGAUCGGCCACAUUGGGACUGAGACACGGCCCAAACUCCUACGGGAGGCAGCAGUGGGGAAUAUUGCACAAUGGGGGAAACCCUGAUGCAGCGACGCCGCGUGAGUGAUGAAGUAUUUCGGUAUGUAAAACUCUAUCAGCAGGGAAGAUAAUGACGGUACCUGACUAAGAAGCACCGGCUAAAUACGUGCCAG
rnacentral:rRNA from 1 species